GUCCACGCUGUAAACGAUGUCUGCUAGCCGUUGGGAUCCUUGAGGUCUCGGUGGCGCAGCUAACGCGAUAAGCAGACCGCCUGGGGAGUACUGCCGCAAGGUUAAAACUCAAAUGAAUUGACGGGGGCCCGCACAAGCGGUGGAGCAUGUGGUUUAAUUCGAUGCAACGCGAAGAACCUUACCACCCCUUGACAUCCAGAGAACUGUCCAGAGAUGGACGGGUGCCUUUCGGGAACUCUGAGACAGGUGCUGCAUGGCUGUCGU
rnacentral:rRNA from 1 species